UAUUUUUCUUACCUUCAACCUCCCCUGAGGAAGCAAGACAAAAGUUAAAACGAGAUCGCCAGACAAAUGCCAACAGAAGCGGAGAGAGGACAAUCAAAGCCUUUGCCCCUUCUUCUACCCAUCAACGUAUAAAGGGUGGGGAGAGUUCCUUUCGUCGUCCAAAGCGUGGGAGAAGCUCAGGAGCAGAAAAGAAGAGGGGAGAGGACAGAGUUAUGAGAGUUCUGUAGUGGGGGAGAUAGAGAUUUUGUCGUGAUCCAUGAAGGAGAGGGAGGCGAGAGACGGCGUCCUCCAUCCUCCCUUCUUCUUCUUCUUCUUCUUCUGCUUCUUCUUCUGUCAAUGCUAAGCUCCGAAAUCCUCUACUUCGAUUUGACUACGCUCCUUAAGGUCCUUCUCACUGCCUUCAUCGUUGGAGUCGCCGCAGUUCGGGUCGUCAGGGACACAGCGUCCAAACAUCUGACUGUGGGGAGGUUUGGUGGCGGCGCUGAUUCGGACGCCUAUCGGCCGGAGGUGUCUCGGUACACGAUGGCGGCGGAUGAGGUGGUCGAGGAGGUUUGCCACGUCUGCCGGAGUCCGACCAGCAAGAAGUGCGCGCGGUGUAAGGCUGUGCGUUAUUGCUCUCCUAGUUGCCAGAAGCAAGACUGGAAUGCAGGACACAAUAUCAAGUGCAAAACGACUGUGGCUCAGAAUGAUAGAAGCUUGAAAAAUGCCAAAAAUAAAUCUACCAUACGAACAGGCUUUCUUUCUAGUGCUGACUCAGUGUUGCCUGCGCGGGCAACAUGCAAGGUUCUACGUCAGCCAAGAAAGGUUCUUUUUCCGUACAAUGAAUUUGUGGAGCUCUUUAAUUGGGACAAGCCAGGGUUGCCACCUUGUGGUCUUCUAAACUGUGGUAACAGUUGUUUCGCAAAUGUGAUUCUACAAUGCCUUGCUUCAACUCGACCGCUGGUUGCCUACUUGGUUGAAAAAGAUCAUUCUAAAGAAUGUAGUAGGAAUGACUGGUGCUUCUUAUGUGAACUUCAAACCCAUAUUCAUCGACUGAGGCAGAGCUCAAACCCAUUUUCACCUAUCAAUAUUCUUUCACGCAUUCCUAACAUUGGUGGCAACCUUGGAUAUUGGCAACAGGAGGAUGCACAUGAGUUUAUGAGAUUUGCAAUUGAUACCAUGCAGUCUGUGUGCCUUGAUGAGUUCGGGGGAGAAAAAGUUGUUGAACCUAGCAGUCAAGAGACAACCCUUAUCCAUCACAUAUUUGGUGGCCGUCUCCAAUCUCAGGUUGUAUGCUCAAGAUGUGAUAAAGUCUCAAAUAGGUAUGAGAACAUGAUGGAUUUAACUGUUGAAAUUCAAGGAGAUGCUGAAUCUCUGGAAGAAUGUCUUCAACAUUUCACUGUAAAAGAGUGGCUUGAUGGAGAAAAUAUGUACAAAUGUGAAGGAUGUAGUGCUUAUGUGAAAGCAUGGAAGCGCCUUACUGUUCAUCAGGCUCCAAAUAUUCUUACUAUUGCUCUAAAGAGAUUCCAGGUUAUUUAUACUUUUGUUUUUCUUCUAAUCAAGAGAUUUCUGAUUGGAGACUAUUUUUGUGACCUUUCAUGCUGCCAAUUUCAGAGUGGAAGAUUUGGAAAGUUAAACAAGCGAGUUACUUUUCCAGAAACAUUGGAUCUUGGUCCAUACAUGAGUGAAGCUGGGGAGUCUACCGAUAUUUACAAGCUUUAUGCUGUAGUAGUUCAUAUUGACAUGCUUAAUGCUUCAUUUUUUGGACACUACAUAUGCUAUACAAAGGAUAUCCAGGGAACCUGGUAUAGAAUCGACGAUUGCAAGGUGAUGAAAGUAGAGUUGGAUGAAGUACUCUCUCAAAGGGCUUAUAUGCUCCUAUAUAGCAGGGCACAUGUGCGCCCAGCUACUCAUGAACCUUUGGAAAGGUUGAACAAUGAUAAUGAGCAACCAGUACAAACUGAAGAAAUCCAGAAAACUGCCGAGUCUGCAAAUGUCAAUGUCAUCAGGUCAGAACCUGCUACAUCUUCCGGAAGCUCAGAAUCUGAUCUCAACAGGAAGCCUGAUAUUCUGAACCAAGGAGAGGAGUUGGAAUUUGAGGUCAAUCAUGCAAGUGGGAAGAAAGAUCCAAUCAAGGAAUCUUUCUCUCUUACAGCGAGUAACAUGGUUGACUCCUGUAAUUGUUCUCCUGCUUCAGGAAAUGGCAGUGUCACUUUGCCACCUGAGAACUUGCCAACCGUUAUUUCCUUUGACGAGUCAUCUUCAAUGCUGGAAGCAUCCGUUUCCAGAAAUGAAGAGGCAGAUUCAAGUGCAGAUAUACAUGUUCAUUUCGAAAGUGAAAAAGGCACAGUAAGCAAUCACAAGUUGGAUUCGUUUGAAUGUCCAAAUGGAUCAUCUUCGGCUGACAGUAUGUUUUCGAAGCAUUCUAAUGAUACUCUGCCAGAUUGUGGCCCGCCCAAGGACUGUUGCUUGUCUGUUGAUGGUGUCAACCAUGCUGCUGUAUCAUCACCAAAAUCUUCCACGGAGCUGCCUAUGGAUGCAAAUUCUCAUCCUCUAGUGUCUGUUGCAAAUCAUCCAUUCAUGUGCAAGAAAUUGGACAACGGUAUUGCUGAAAAUGGAAGAACUUGCUCAGGUGAGGUUAAAAAUGACAAUCCUUUGUCAUCCCUGAAGGAAAGUUUUGGUGCUAGAUCCACGGGUGAACAAUAUGUCAUUCCUUCCAUGUGCAAUAAAGUGGAGAAUGGAAAUAUUCGGAAUGAAGAUUGCUCAAAUGAGAUGGCAGAUGAUAGCCCGUUGUUGUCUCCUAAGAAAGGCAUGCAACGUCCUGCGAGGAGAUCAAAGCCAGUUUUUGCUCCUGGUUUCCUUAACACGCCAGCUAGAAAAAAGUCACUAGAUACUGCCAGAUAAAUCAGAGGUUGCAUCAUAUGAUCCAAUUGAUUGCUAUUCUUAAAUCUGAUUGUGACAUGAAAAUUACCAUAUACUGAAAUGGCUUGCCUAAUUGUUGGACUUGUAGUGGCACUUUCAAAGAAUCUGAAUGCUUUACUACCAAAAUUACCAAAAUGCAGAGAACAAGUCACAGGACCUAAUCACAUUGGACAGAUGGCGUAAGCGGUUGAAAGGGGCACUUGCCUACGCGAAUCAGGGCCACACAUUCAUGUGACAUUGGCUGCCAGAUCAGCAUAGGCAGGUGGGAGGAGGAACUGACGUGCAUUAUUGGGACUUGCUUCUUGUAGCUAGUUUGGGGUUACAUCAUUCUUAGCUCUUGCAUGGGUCUCUGCCACUAAUAAAAAAAAAAAAUUAGUGGAUUUGGGGUCUUUGGGUUUCAAUAUUUGUAGGAGACCCAUUAAGUGCAGGAGCAGACGAUCUUUGGUAUACAAACCAAUUUUUCAUUGUGGUGCUACAUAAUUUGGAGAAAUGUUAUUGCAUUGUUUGCUCAUGGAGGCUAUUAUUGGAUGGGCAGACCAUAGCACAUCAACAUAUAAUACAAAAAGCCUUUUGUUGAGUGUAGUUGGUACCAGAGGAUAACUUUAAGAUCCUACUGUAUCACUCGGUUGCAGUUUGUAUUUCUGAUUUUCGGUGAUUAACACGUACAAGAUGGAGUCGUGUUGGUUCUUUUCUUUGUUGGACCUAGAAAACUGAUUGUUUUCUGAGAAUCAAUUCACAGUUUUCUU